ACUCAGGUGCAAGGGUUUUACGCUUAACAGUGAAGGUUCGCCUGAGUUAGUGUUUUUGCUAGUGUAAGAUUGACUGGGGUAUGUACGUGACUUACAAUAAGCAGUGAAAACUACAUUCCCUGACCGCUCUUGCUGAUUUAUUUCGGCAAGGAAUCUUUGGACAGACAUGUU
rnacentral:snRNA from 18 species